AUUGAACGCUGGCGGCAUGCUUUACACAUGCAAGUCGGACGGCAGCAUAAAAGAGCUUGCCCUUUUGAUGGCGAGUGGCGAACGGGUGAGUAAUGCAUCGGAACGUACCGAGUAGUGGGGGAUAACUGUCCGAAAGGAUGGCUAAUACCGCAUAUUCUCUGAGGAGGAAAGCAGGGGACCUUAGGGCCUUGCGCUAUUUGAGCGGCCGAUGUCUGAUUAGCUAGUUGGUGGGGUAAGAGCCCACCAAGGCGACGAUCAGUAGCGGGUCUGAGAGGAUGAUCCGCCACACUGGGACUGAGACACGGCCCAGACUCCUACGGGAGGCAGCAGUGGGGAAUUUUGGACAAUGGGCGCAAGCCUGAUCCAGCCAUGCCGCGUGUAUGAAGAAGGCCUUCGGGUUGUAAAGUACUUUUGUCAGGGAAGAAAAGCCUGAGGAUAACACCCUCAGGUCAUGACGGUACCUGAAGAAUAAGCACCGGCUAACUACGUGCCAGCAGCCGCGGUAAUACGUAGGGUGCGAGCGUUAAUCGGAAUUACUGGGCGUAAAGCGAGCGCAGACGGUUAUUUAAGCAAGAUGUGAAAGCCCCGGGCUCAACCUAGGAACUGCGUUUUGAACUGGGUAACUAGAGUGUGUCAGAGGGGGGUAGAAUUCCACGUGUAGCAGUGAAAUGCGUAGAGAUGUGGAGGAAUACCGAUGGCGAAGGCAGCCCCCUGGGAUAACACUGACGUUCAUGCUCGAAAGCGUGGGUAGCAAACAGG
rnacentral:rRNA from 1 species